GACGAACGCUGGCGGCGUGCCUAAUACAUGCAAGUAGAACGCACAGUUUAUACCGUAGCUUGCUACACCAUAGACUGUGAGUUGCGAACGGGUGAGUAACGCGUAGGUAACCUGCCUGGUAGCGGGGGAUAACUAUUGGAAACGAUAGCUAAUACCGCAUCAUAUUAAUUAUUGCAUGAUAAUUAAUUGAAAGGUGCAAUUGCACCACUACCAGAUGGACCUGCGUUGUAUUAGCUAGUAGGUGAGGUAACGGCUCACCUAGGCGACGAUACAUAGCCGACCUGAGAGGGGGGACGGCCACACUGGGACUGGGACACGGCCCAGACGCCUACGGGAGGCAGCAGUAGGGAAUCGUCGGCAAUAGACGAAAGUCUGACCGAGCAACGCCGCGUGAGUGAAGAAGGUUUUCGGAUCGUAAAGAUCUGUUGUAAGAGAAGAACGGGUGUGGGAGUGGAAAGUGCACACUGUGACGGUAUCUGAACAGAAAGGGACGGCUAACUACGUG
rnacentral:rRNA from 1 species